UCCCUGGUAGUAUAUCGGUUAGUACACGCGCCUGUCAUAAUAAAUGAAAAACCCAUCCGCGCGAAAGCUGGGUUCGACUCCCAGCCAGGGAG